GAAGAUGACAAGGUAGAUCGGUCCGAGGUGUAAGCACAGCAAUGUGUUCAGCUGACGGAUACGAAUCGGUCGAGGGCUUAUCCUA
rnacentral:rRNA from 1 species